rnacentral:rRNA from 1 species
GAUGAACGCUAGCGGCAGGCUUAAUACAUGCAAGUUGAGGGGCAGCAUGAUAUACGCGAGUAUAUUGAUGGCGACCGGUGGACGGGUGAGUAAUAGGUAGGAGACCUACCUCAUACAGGGGGAUAGCAUAGAGAAAUCUGUGGUAAUACCCCAUGAGGUUAUAUGAAUAGAGGCAUAUAAUCAAAGCAUAAGUGAUUAUGCGGUAUGAGAGGGGCCUACUGACCAUUAGCUAGUUGGUGAGGUAAGGGCUCACCAAGGCGAAGAUGGUUAGGGGUUUUGAGAGAGAGACCCCCCACAUUGGAACUGAGAGACGGUCCAGACUCCUACGGGAGGCAGCAGUAGGGAAUAUUGGGCAAUGGGCGAAAGCCUGACCCAGCCAUGCCGCGUGAAGGAAGACGGCCUUAUGGGUUGUAAACUUCUUUACUACGCGAAUAGAGGUUAGUACGAGAUACUAAUAGGAAGGUAGUGUAGUAAAAAGCACCGGCUAACUCCGUG